AAAAGCCGAGUCUAUAUAAGGAGGGAAGGAGCUUGGUUUAUAACACAAGCGAAACUCCACUUUUUAUUGAACGAUGGGGUCUCAAACGGGCUAUCUCUUUGCCACGCUUUUGGUAAUAUCAGUCUCUCUUAGCCACUUGCCAUUAGAAGCCUCCGCAAACAAUUACUACUACACAUCUCCUCCCCCACCAAAGAAAUAUCCACCACCACCACCUCCCCCUCCCCAGUACAAAUCUCCACCACCACCACCACCGGUUCACAAGUCUCCACCACCUCCUCAACCCGCCUGCGAGCCUGCUCCGCCACCAACUCCAAUUUUCCAUCAUCCGCCACCUCCUGUCCCCAAGUUCCCACCACCACCGCCUCACCCUUACGUCUAUGCAUCUCCCCCUCCUCCUUACUACUAGUAGAAAGCGGCCGUGAAUAGCUCAUGCUUUUAUGGUAAUCUCAUUUAUUUUUAAAACUGUACAUGACUAGUAUUUCAGAAUUACAUUAAGCAUUUCAAUUUUAAGCACCGUGUUCUGUUUAAUUGUGUUCCUAGUGAUUAAGUGACAAAUAAAAGAGACUGAUUAAUUUUUUCUUGUAGGGGAGGCGAAUGGUAUCCGAAUAAAGAAAUGGUUUGAUGAAAAGCGUACUGAGAGCAAGAAUGCAAGAUAGCGGUCGAUCGAGUUGUCGCGUUUGAUUCUUUUUUAUCUUUUUUUUUUUUUGAAGAAUAAACAGCCACAUGUAGAAGCAGAAAAGUUCUUGUCAUUUUCAUGCUUGUGGAUUGUUGCUGCGUGUGUCAAUCAAAUCUCUGGUGUGUCUUUUGUAAUUUUCAAUUUUCAUGCAUGCAAAUGCGAUCUCUUUCGUAUAAUAAAAUUAAUAUACUUAACAAGAUGGUCUUAUCUUGCGUUGAACUUUAUGCUCCUUUGGCGAUGAUUGUGACGUUUAAAAAUUAAAAC
rnacentral:lncRNA from 1 species